CAGUCGCCGCGGUAAUACGGAGGGUGCAAGCGUUAAUCGGAAUUACUGGGCGUAAAGCGCACGCAGGCGGUCUGACAAGUCAGAUGUGAAAUCCCCGGGCUUAACCUGGGAACUGCAUUUGAAACUGUCAGGCUGGAGUCUUGUAGAGGGGGGUGGAAUUCCAGGUGUAGCGGUGAAAUGCGUAGAGAUCUGGAGGAAUACCGGUGGCGAAGGCGGCCCCCUGGACAAAGACUGACGCUCAGGUGCGAAAGCGUGGGGAGCAAACAGGAUUAGAGACCCAGUAGUCCCUGUCUCUUAUACA
rnacentral:rRNA from 1 species